rnacentral:tRNA from 1 species
GCGCCCGUAGCUCAGCUGGAUAGAGCAAUGGAUUCCGGUUCCAUGUGUCGGGGGUUCGAGUCCUCUCGGGCGCG